CCUACGGGAGGCAGCAGUGGGGAAUAUUGCACAAUGGGGGAAACCCUGAUGCAGCGACGCCGCGUGAGUGAAGAAGUCAUUCGUUAUGUAAAGCUCUAUCAGCAGGGAAGAAAAUGACGGUACCUGAGUAAGAAGCCCCGGCUAACUACGUGCCAGCAGCCGCGGUAAUACGGAGGGGGCAAGCGUUAUCCGGAUUUACUGGGUGUAACGGGAGCGUAGACGGCAGUGCAAGUCUGGAGUGAAAGGCGGGGGCUCAACCCCCGGACUGCUCUGGAAACUGUACGGCUGGAGUGCAGGAGAGGUAAGUGGAAUUCCUAGUGUAGCGGUGAAAUGCGUAGAUAUUAGGAGGAACACCAGUGGCGAAGGCGGCUUACUGGACUGUAACUGACGUUGAGGCUCGAAAGCGUGGGGAGCAAACAGGAUUAGAUACCCCAGUAGUC
rnacentral:rRNA from 1 species